rnacentral:rRNA from 1 species
AUCAACUUUCGAUGGUAGGAUAGAGGCCUACCAUGGUGGUAACGGGUAACGGGGUGUUAGGGCACGACACCGGAGAGGGAGCCUGAGAAACGGCUACCACAUCCAAGGAUGGCAGCAGGCGCGCAAAUUACCCAAUCCCGACACGGGGAGGUAGUGACAAUAAAUAACAAUACGGGGUUCUUUCGGAUCUCGUAAUUGGAAUGAGUACAAUUUAAAUCUCUUAACGAGGAACAAUUGGAGGGCAAGUCUGGUGCCAGCAGCCGCGGUAAUUCCAGCUCCAAUAGCGUAUAUUAAAGUUGUUGCAGUUAAAAAGCUCGUAGUUGAAUUUCGGGGUUAGUAGGCUGGUCAUGCCACCGGUAUGUACUGGUCUCACUGAUUCCUCCUUCCUGAUGAACUGUAAUGCCAUUAAUUUGGUGUUGCAGGGAAUCUGGACUGUUACUUUGAAAAAAUUAGAGUGUUUAAAGCAGGCUAACGCUUGAAUACAUUAGCAUGGAAUAAUGAAAUAGGAUGUUCGAUCCUAUUUUGUUGGUUUCUAGGAUUGACGUAAUGAUUAAUAGGGAUAGUUGAGGGCAUUAGUAUUCAAUUGUCAGAGGUGAAAUUCUUGGAUUUAUUGAAGACUAACUACUGCGAAAGCAUUUGCCAAGGAUGUUUUCAUUAAUCAAGAACGAAAGUUAGGGGAUCGAAGACGAUCAGAUACCGUCGUAGUCUUAACCAUAAACUAUGCCGACUAGGGAUCGGAUGAUGUUAAUUUUUUAAUGACUCAUUCGGCGCCUUACGGGAAACCAAAGUGUUUGGGUUC